rnacentral:rRNA from 1 species
AUACGUAGGGUGCGAGCGUUGUCCGGAAUGAUUGGGCGUAAAGGGCGCGUAGGCGGCCCGGUAAGUCUGGAGUGAAAGUCCUGUUUUUAAGAUGGGAAUUGCUUUGGAUGCUGUCGGGCUUGAGUGCAGGAGAGGUAAGUGGGAUUCCCAGUGUAGCGGUGAAAUGCGUAGAGAUUGGGAGGAACACCAGUGGCGAAGGCGACUUACUGGACUGUAACUGACGCUGAGGCGCGAAAGUGUGGGGAGCAAACAGGAUUAGAUACCCUGGUAGUCCACACUGUAAACGAUGAAUGCUAGGUGUAGGGGGUAUCGACCCCUUCUGUGCCGCAGUCAACACAAUAAGCAUUCCGCCUGGGGAGUACGGCCGCAAGGUUGAAACUCAAAGGAAUUGACGGGG